GUGAAAUGUCUCUUCUCAUUACAGCCAGUUCUUAGCUGGUGCCUACCAGGUGGUACUGGGGAUUUUUUUAUGCUGUUCAGCUCUGCUCAAGUGAGACAAGCAAACCCUUCUGGAAAGCAUGGGACUCAAUUGACACAACCUUUGCUGUUCCAUUUGAUAAUUGUCCAGGAUGAGAUCUAGAGCACAGGUGUUUUCAAUCAUGUUUUGUACCUGGUAUUAUAAAUUAUUGUUUGCUUUGGUUUAAGCUUAGAAUUUG
rnacentral:lncRNA from 1 species